rnacentral:rRNA from 1 species
GACGAACGCUGGCGGCGUGCUUAACACAUGCAAGUCGAACGGAAAGGCCCUGCUUUUGUGGGGUGCUCGAGUGGCGAACGGGUGAGUAACACGUGAGUAACCUGCCCUUGACUUUGGUAUAACUUCAGGAAACUGGGGCUAAUACCGGAUAGGAGCUCCUGCCUCAUGGUGGUGGUUGGAAAGUUUCGGCGGUUGGGGAUGGACUCGCGGCUUAUCAGCUUGUUGGUGGGGUAGUGGCUUACCAAGGCUUUGACGGGUAGCCGGCCUGAGAGGGUGACCGGCCACAUGGGGACUGAGAUACGGCCCAGACUCCUACGGGAGGCAGCGGUGGGGAAGAUUGCACAAUGGGCGGAAGCCUGAUGCAGCAACGCCGCGUGCGGGAUGACGGCCUUCGGGUUGUAAACCGCUUUCGCCUGUGACGAAGCGUGAGUGACGGUAAUGGGUAAAGAAGCACCGGCUAACUACGU